rnacentral:rRNA from 1 species
GAUGAACGCUGGCGGCGUGCCUAAUACAUGCAAGUCGAGCGAACAGACGAGGAGCUUGCUCCUCUGACGUUAGCGGCGGACGGGUGAGUAACACGUGGAUAACCUACCUAUAAGACUGGGAUAACUUCGGGAAACCGGAGCUAAUACCGGAUAAUAUAUUGAACCGCAUGGUUCAAUAGUGAAAGACGGUUUUGCUGUCACUUAUAGAUGGAUCCGCGCCGCAUUAGCUAGUUGGUAAGGUAACGGCUUACCAAGGCAACGAUGCGUAGCCGACCUGAGAGGGUGAUCGGCCACACUGGAACUGAGACACGGUCCAGACUCCUACGGGAGGCAGCAGUAGGGAAUCUUCCGCAAUGGGCGAAAGCCUGACGGAGCAACGCCGCGUGAGUGAUGAAGGUCUUCGGAUCGUAAAGCUCUGUUAUUAGGGAAGAACAAAUGUGUAAGUAACUAUGCACGUCUUGACGGUACCUAAUCAGAAAGCCCCGGCUAACUACGUG